rnacentral:rRNA from 1 species
GACGAACGCUGGCGGCGUGCCUAAUACAUGCAAGUAGAACGCUGAAGGAGGAGCUUGCUUCUCUGGAUGAGUUGCGAACGGGUGAGUAACGCGUAGGUAACCUGCCUGGUAGCGGGGGAUAACUAUUGGAAACGAUAGCUAAUACCGCAUAAUAGUAGAUGUUGCAUGACAUUUGCUUAAAAGGUGCAAUUGCAUCACUACCAGAUGGACCUGCGUUGUAUUAGCUAGUUGGUGAGGUAACGGCUCACCAAGGCGACGAUACAUAGCCGACCUGAGAGGGUGAUCGGCCACACUGGGACUGAGACACGGCCCAGACUCCUACGGGAGGCAGCAGUAGGGAAUCUUCGGCAAUGGACGGAAGUCUGACCGAGCAACGCCGCGUGAGUGAAGAAGGUUUUCGGAUCGUAAAGCUCUGUUGUAAGAGAAGAACGAGUGUGAGAGUGGAAAGUUCACACUGUGACGGUAUCUUAACAGAAAGGGACGGCUAACUACGUG